AGACCCGAAACCCGGUGAUCUAGCCAUGGGCAGGUUGAAGGUUGGGUAACACUAACUGGAGGACCGAACCGACUAAUGUUGAAAAAUUAGCGGAUGACUUGUGGCUGGGGGUGAAAGGCCAAUCAAACCGGGAGAUAGCUGGUUCUCCCCGAAAGCUAUUUAGGUAGCGCCUCGUGAAUUCAUCUCCGGGGGUAGAGCACUGUUUCGGCAAGGGGGUCAUCCCGACUUACCAACCCGAUGCAAACUGCGAAUACCGGAGAAUGUUAUCACGGGAGACACACGGCGGGUGCUAACGUCCGUCGUGAAGAGGGAAACAACCCAGACCGCCAGCUAAGGUCCCAAAGUCAUGGUUAAGUGGGAAACGAUGUGGGAAGGCCCAGACAGCCAGGAUGUUGGCUUAGAAGCAGCCAUCAUUUAAAGAAAGCGUAAUAGCUCACUGGUCGAGUCGGCCUGCGCGGAAGAUGUAACGGGGCUAAACCAUGCACCGAAGCUGCGGCAGCGACACUGUGUGUUGUUGGGUAGGGGAGCGUUCUGUAAGCCUGUGAAGGUGUACUGUAAGGUAUGCUGGAGGUAUCAGAAGUGCGAAUGCUGACAUAAGUAACGAUAAAGCGGGUGAAAAGCCCGCUCGCCGGAAGACCAAGGGUUCCUGUCCAACGUUAAUCGGGGCAGGGUGAGUCGACCCCUAAGGCGAGGCCGA
rnacentral:rRNA from 1 species